GCCGUCAGCUCGUGUCGUGAGAUGUUGGUUAAGUCCCGCAACGAGCGCAACCCCUAUUGUUAGUUGCCAUCAUUCAGUUGGGCACUCUAGCGAGACUGCCGGUAAUAAACCGGAGGAAGGUGGGGAUGACGUCAAAUCAUCAUGCCCCUUAUGACCUGGGCUACACACGUGCUACAAUGGUUGGUACAACGAGUUGCGAGUCGGUGACGGCGAGCUAAUCUCUUAAAGCCAAUCUCAGUUCGGAUUGUAGGCUGCAACUCGCCUACAUGAAGUCGGAAUCGCUAGUAAUCGCGGAUCAGCACGCCGCGGUGAAUACGUUCCCGGGCCUU
rnacentral:rRNA from 1 species